rnacentral:rRNA from 1 species
AGUAACGCGUGAGGAACCUGCCUUUCAGAGGGGGACAACAGCUGGAAACGGCUGCUAAUACCGCAUAACACAUAGGUGUCGCAUGGCAUUUAUGUCAAAGAUUUAUCGCUGAGAGAUGGCCUCGCGUCUGAUUAGCUAGUUGGUAGGGUAACGGCCUACCAAGGCGACGAUCAGUAGCCGGACUGAGAGGUUGGCCGGCCACAUUGGGACUGAGACACGGCCCAAACUCCUACGGAAGGCAGCAG